GGGUCAGUAGGUUGGUCGUGCCACCGGUACGUACUGGUCUCACUGAUUCCUCCUUCCUGAAGAACCGUAAUGCCAUUAAUUUGGUGUUGCGGGGAAACAGGACUGUUACUUUGAAAAAUUAGAGUGUUUAAAGCAAGCUGACGCUUGAAUACAUUAGCAUGGAUUAAUGAAAUAGGACGAUCGAUCCUAUUUUGUUGGUUUCUAGGAUUGACGUA
rnacentral:rRNA from 1 species